CCUAGCCAUAGCCAUAUGUGUCUCACAGCAAUAGGAAACAGGAGUGACACCAGGCUGCUACCAGCCAUUAAUGGAGAUGAGCAUUUUUUUUGUAAAGGUGGUAGAACUUUGUGUCUGCUUUUGGCUUUGCAGAAUGAAAAUUGAAAGCACCUGGCAUAACAGGUUGUCUUAUUAUUCUUCCCUGGCUUAGAAGCUCUGACAUCUGCCCCUUACUUCUGCCCUCCCUCCACCAGGAAACAUGGGACAGGUCUAAGUGAAGCUCUCCUUAGUUUCCCCAAGGCUUUGGAGUGGGGCUGGGUGGAAGGAGCAAAAGGGCUAGGGAGAGUGAGGGACUGGAAGGGUAAACUGGCUUGUGUGCACUCAAUUAAUAUAUUCCACGGAAGGGCACACUGCUUGUCCUGAGAAAAUUAUUAUUCCAGAGAAAUACUUCAGUGUAGUCAGAUUACAUUAGCCUUCUCUUCAAGGAGCUCCUCCAAUCUCACUUCCUCUAUGACAUCAUAAGGCAGCACAAGCCCGAUGCAGACACCUGCCCUUCGGCUAGCACCCCAGCUGACACUAGCACACAGUGCCAAUGUCUGAUGUCCUGCCCUCCACUCCUAAGUGUUCUUUCUUUCUCCGUUGUCAUAUCUGGGGACCAGAUAAGCUCAUGCCUACCAAUUCCUGCAUCAGUCAUUUCCAUGGCGAGGUCUUAGAUGAUGCAGUGCUGAUGUUCCUGGUAACUAGACUCAAGAGAGCACACAGAUAAAGGCAACCAGGAAAAGGUUUCUGAUCCCCAAACUACUAUACUUACAUCAUUUGACUGCUUAAAUGGGGUGCUAGCUUCUCAAAAGCAGUCAACAAGCUCAUAUUAAGAAUGUAUUUAACAUUACUUCUUCCAUGCAUCUUUGAUGAUCUGUGUUUGUGUCCUGAAAUUUAGUGAAUUAAAUGUUAAUUUUGCUUAGACC
rnacentral:lncRNA from 1 species